UCAUCACAACCCCAAACUUGAACUGUUACUUGUCCUCAAGUGACAUGUCUGUCAAAACAAAAUUGUCAGGGAAUUAACAAAUUAAUUUGAAUGAUAAAAAUCUCAUAAACCUUUUUCUCUUCAUCCGGCAAUAGAACCACCGGUGUUAACUUCAGUGAUCAUGCUCAAUAAACACUUUGGCUUCCAAGACUUGAAUCAAAUUUGGUCCGAUGACCGUUCCACACAAUGUACAAAGUUCAAACUUAUCUCUCACUCACUAAUUCACUCAAUUUUUGACAGGGUAUUCACUCCAUCAACAUGCAAAUGCUAUUUUACCAUAAGCUUGAAAAAAUUCUAAAUGUCAAUCAAAGUAAAUACAUCACACACAUUUUUGAGGUCUUGAGGGUUAUAACUUGGCUUGGGUAACUGGUGGGAUAAUUUUAGGAAAAGUAGGCUAAAUUGGAGUUAGGUAUCCACUACUAUUCCUUGUUGAAGCAUUACCAUUACCAGGGCUAAAUUCAUUGUUAAUAAGGUACCUAGAGAACUUAUCUUUCAUUUUUUUUUUCUUUUUUUUUUGAAGAUGCCACUAUUUUUCAUGAUUAAUGGUUCUUUAUUUUUUUGAAGAAAACUCAAUUAUUUUUGUGAGUCUCUUGUUAUUAUUAUCAUUUUUUUUUUAGUUCUCUAGUACCCCUACCCCAAACUUAAGAUGUUGCUAAUUCCAAAAGCAACCCCAAACUUAAAAUGAUGUCAUGACAAGAAAAUUUAAAGCUUCUACCUAACUCCAAGGAGGGCAAACAGAUAAAAAAUUUUAUGUCUAAAAGGCUUAUAAUUGGGUUAGUCACCGAAAGAAAAGGGAAAUAUUUUAGGCUCAAAGUGGUUUAGCAACAGAUAUAUAAUAACAGGGUAGCUUGAAAAGGCUCAGAGUACCAAACAAAUGUGCCUCUAUGUGUGAAAAUGUAAAACCAAUCAACAGUAGAGAAUAGUCGCAAGUUCUAGAAAAUAUACAAAGCAUGGAUACACUCAUAAGAUGUGAAAGAAAAAGUAUACCAUGGAAUUUAUUUGGCUCAAUAUGCUCACCAGCUGAGAUAUCUGAAAGUUGAACUAGUACAUCGUGCAAAACUCCAUCUUUCCAAUUCGUCUCUUUGUCUCUUGAACCAUCGCGCUUUCAUGAGCAGUCACACGUCAGUUAUUCUUUUAUGUGCAAGCCUAAGAGAUUCUCAUCAUGCAAAUUCAGGUGUUAACACACUGACAAUUCUGAAACGACAUAAAAAC
rnacentral:lncRNA from 1 species